AGACCUGAGUGAAGCAAACUUGUAUGUGCUACCUUGAGAGCAUGCCAGACUGCACUGGAUUGCAGUUCUCAACAAAAGAGCUUAAGUAGUUUUGCAGAACACUCUGAGCCUGGAUUGUGACUGAGCUCACCUGAUUCCUGGAAACUGUCCUCAGGAGUGGGGAAAAAGAUGAGAGGAACAGAAUUUGUCAGAACAGAGUGAUAUAAGAGAGUCUUUUCCAUCUGCCGAAGAUUCAGUCCAACAUUGAUGGGAAAAUUUAAAGAAGCUCCUCCAAAUGUUACUGAUUCAUGUUGUAAUAUUAUUUGAAACCAGAAAUAUCUGCAUGUUCAUCUUAGUGUAUGUUCAUAAAAGACUGUGCCCUUGAUUAUAAAAAAAAAUAUCUAGUAGCUCUUUUCUGUGCUAUAUUUUGAUAGUGAGCUUGGGGAGUGUUUGCAUUGGAAAAAUGCCCAGAGAACAUUUUAUUGGUCACAUUCAAUUUUAAAAUGGUUUAUGUCUCCCAAAACCCUAGGUUUACAGUAUUUAAUAUUACUAAUGGGAUGGUACAAUCGCCAAGCAUUUAUCAGCAUAGAGAUAUCAGAAUGGAAAUAGUAAAAUGACACAUUAAUCUCUGAAAUCUCAAUAUGCCGCCACAGAAACACCCACUGCCCAUUAUCCAGCUGUUAUGAAAAUACCAAGUUCCUAGUAACAGACACUUUGGAAGAGGUGAAAGUGCUGUGGAAAGAGUAUUGCAGUUAGCUUAUGCCUUCCUUUCCUUGUUCAUCUUCAGUCCCAAGCAGUUUGAUCUCACAGACAGUGCUGCUUGCCUCCCAUGAAGAUGGGUCAUUGCUAGGCUAUAUUGAAAUGGGGGAGACAAGAGGUAGAUUGUAUUCUGUAUUUUUUUUCUUUUCUUUUUUUUUUUUUUUUUUUGGUUAUAAAGCCACACUAAGCACUCCUACACAGGGCAUUUGGUCUGUCACGACAGCAGAGCUCCCACUGGUUUCAGCUGGCACUAGAUGAAACUCUUGGAGACCUGACAUUUAUACAUUCUGCUUAAUGCUUUAAGGGUGGGCAGAGGACAAAGUCACAGGCUGCCUGUUGGAAGGGCUGUAAUUUUGCAGCUAACUCCACAUCUAGGUUUGGCUGUCCCCCUUUGCCUCAGAUUCUGGCAUUACCCAUAGACUAUUCUGUAAGGUAUGAAAGUGAAAAUGGAGAAACUGUGCAUUUAAAGUUCCUGGCUGAUGAUGGGGGAAUUAGAAUCAGCAGCAUUUUCACUGGUACCUGUAUGAGCUUAAAUGCUCCUGCUUGCUCAAGCUGCUUCUCACGGGUUUUGCUGGGUAAAAGAAAAAAUUAGUUAACUGUUGCCUAAUAAAAAAAUCUGAAAAAGUUGAA